rnacentral:ncRNA from 2 species
AAAAAUUUGUGGGGGGACCAAUUUUUGGUUGAGAAGGUAAAACCUGACCCUUGGAACCUGUCGGUUAAUACCGUUGUAGGGAAGCAAUGACAAUAACUU